AUGGCUGCAAUCUACGACAAGCACACAAAACUAUAUGAUGCAAAGUUAAAAGGGGCUCCAAGUUCUUACAGGCAAGUGUUGCAAGCAAUACAUUGCAAGCGAAUGGAGCAGCUUCUCAAAGAUGUUCAUGUUGCUUCGUCAAGUUCUCAAGAAGCAGUGGAUGUUACCUUUGAUGUAUCGCUUCCUCACAGCAAUGUUGUAGACAAGUCAGAUGGUCAUGGUUGUAGCAAGGAAAGUUCUAGGGAGAAGGUCGUAGAUGAGCCAACAACUGACAAGGUGUUUGAGCCAGCUGAAGGAGCUCGAAGCAACUGUGCAAGUAGCAUUGUUCAUGAGCCUAAUGGAGGCGAUGUGGUUGAGCUGGGCAUAGGAACUAGUGCUGUUGUCAGUGAGAACCUUGCACAAUGUUUUGAGACUGCAAAGGAGAAAGUGUCCAGUGGUGAAGAUACUGAGCAUGGUCACCAACUCAGCCAGCGCAAUCACUCUGUGCCGACUAGUGUGGCUGGACAUUGGAGUGAUGUUCCAUCAAUGAGUGUGUUCCAAGAGGGCACUGAGGAAUAUGAGUGGUGGAUCAGUGUCCCAAAUGUAGAUGCGAACUCGAAUGCUCCAACCCAUGGCAACACUGUUACAACACCAAAGUCUUGUGAUGUUUUUUAUGUCACUCCUCAGGCUCCAAUCUCAACAGAAGCAGAAGUUCCAGUGUAUGAUGUCACACCAACCUCUGUGGCUCCAUUAUCAAGCGGGACUGCCGAUGGACCAUCAAAACCACAAGAAGAGCCAGUUGUUCUAGUUAGCAGCAGGGAACCAAGUCCCGACCUCAACGAGGAGAAGUUGAAGAGCAAGGACGAGAAGAAGCUCAAGAGCAAGAAAAGAUUAGGGAGUCCAAUGUCGGCUGGAUCAAAGUACAAGAAAAUCAAGACAGAUUCGAAGACGGAAGCAAUGUACCAGUACUAUGUCAUGAAGAGGUACAAGAUGAAGAAGAUGAAGAGAGGGGAAAUUGAGCCUCCUUUCAUUAGGAAUGGUGAUUUCCACAUUACCUACACGAACUUUCAGAAGUCGUUGAAGCCACGCGCUCAGAUAUGCAACGAAGUCAUGUCUUUAUUCGUCGAAACCUUCAACAUUGAACAGUUGUCGUCUUCACAUAAGCAGAAGAAAUUUGCUUUCUCUGUUUUAAUGAUCCUUCAACUCUCUGUCCACCCAGAAGUUUUUGAUCCAAGUGUUUGUGCAAGAGAGCUGAGGAGGGCGUGCCAAAAUUUUCAGAUUUCAGUUUUUGACCUACUUUUCUUCACCAUCCUUCGCGAUGGCCAUUGGAUUGUUUGCGUCGUUAACCUCUUGCACAAGGAAUUCAACAUGUUUGACUCAUUGGAUAACGGAAAAUUUGAUGUUGCUGCAAGGAAUCUGUUUACCAAUUUCAAGAGGAUCGCUACGGAAGAGCCAGAUUUCAAAGUGGAUUUAUCUUCUUUCAAACCAAACUGGCCCCUGCUUGACUACCCACAGCAGGCAACUCACUUUGAUUGUGGAUUGUUUUCAACACUGUACUUGGAAAAUUUCGACGGCAAGAGGAUGAAAGAUUUUAAGAAGCAAAAUAUGCUUGAUGUGCGGAAGACCAUUGCUUCGAAGCUGUUUUUCCAUCCGUUGAACAAGGUCUGCCCCGCUGAUGUGCACAAGGCGAUCAUAGUGGCUUGA
rnacentral:rRNA from 1 species